UAAACACACCGCCAUUUGAGAAGAAACCAGACAAGACACGACAACACUUUACUAGAACAAUCAACAGGUCCAACAAGAUGAAAACUGUUGUUGUGGUCAUCACAGUUUUGGUCAUUAUGGCCUUUGUACUAAUUGAACAAGGAGAUUCAAUUCGGCGAUGGUGUGAUUACGAUUGGCCAUACUGUCGACCUCGGCUCUGCAACCCGGUGUUUCGCCCGUGGGAUUGUGGAAUAGUCUCUAAGUGAUGAUUUAUACUCACUCAUCACGUCUGCCCUACCAUUCAAUGAUGUCAAUUAUGGAGGAUGGAAUAUUUUUGGAAUGAUGCUUUAAAGUAAAUAACACUUAUUCUAGGUUUAUAUGGUUAACUUGGUAAUAAAGCAUUUUUUUCAAAAUUCAAAAUCAAU